rnacentral:ncRNA from 1 species
AAAUAUUCGUAUUUUAUUCUUCGUAUAAACUUGGAAAUAAGGUCCAAAAGUCUCUACCAAACUACCGUAAAUAGUUUGACUAUGAGGAAUGACAGAAAACGA